UGCACGUCCCACUCCUAGGCCUCAAGAGAUGUUGUAGCUUCUGCUUUCUCACUGGGAAUCUUCUACCAGCAUGUGAACAAACCUGGGCUAGCCUACAGGAAGAUGAGAGAGCAUCUCUCUCCCUCUCUUUCUCCCUGGAGAGAGGCUCCAGAUGUGCUAACCCUCACAGCUGAAGCACCACACGCAUCAGCAAGUGCCACCAAGAGAAGCCACACCUGGACCAGACCACAAAAACUGCCCAGCUGAGCCCAGCCCAGAUUGCUGAUCCACAGAAUUUUGAGCUAGCCACAACAACUCGUAUUUUAAGCCAUUAAAUUUAAGAGUGAUUUGCUACAUGGUAAUAGAUAACUGAUACAUAUAUGGCCUGAGAAGCAAAGGCGGAAACAGAUGAAAAGAACAAAAAAAACCAAAGCCUAGAGAAGGAAAGUGACUUGCUCCAGCUCUCACCAUUUAGGGCCAUGGAUCGGAAUAUUUAACUCUAGAGAUCCUCAUGGGGUUAUGAACUUUGAAAACAACAGUAACAAAAACCUAUCUACUAUCAUCAUGGCUUCAUUUUAAAAAGCGAAGUGACAUUUAACACACCAAAAAUAGGCAGAAAGGACAAAAAUCUCAGAAUAA